AAAGGAAUAGACGGGGACCCGCACAAGCAGCGGAGCAUGUGGUUUAAUUCGAUGCAACGCGAAGAACCUUACCAGGACUUGACAUAUAGAUGAAAGAUCUAGAGAUAGAUCCCUCUCUUCGGAGACAGCUAUACAGGUGGUGCAUGGUUGUCGUCAGCUCGUGUCGUGAGAUGUUGGGUUAAGUCCCGCAACGAGCGCAACCCCUAUAGCUAGUUACCAGCACUUCGGGUGGGGACUCUAGUUAGACUGCCGAUGAUAAAUCGGAGGAAGGUGGGGAUGACGUCAAAUCAUCAUGCCCUUUAUGUCCUGGGCUACACACGUGCUACAAUGGUCGGUACAGAGGGCAGCGAGACUGUGAAGUUAAGCGAAUCUCAGAAAGCCGACCCCAGUUCGGAUUGCAGGCUGCAACUCGCCUGCAUGAAGUCGGAGUUGCUAGUAAUCGCAGAUCAGAAUGCUGCGGUGAAUGCGUUCCCGGGUCUUGUACACACCGCCCGU
rnacentral:rRNA from 1 species